rnacentral:rRNA from 1 species
UACAGAGGUCUCAAGCGUUGUCCGGAUUUAUUGGGCGUAAAGAGCGUGUAGGCGGUUAGGUAGGUCCGUUGUGAAAACUCGAGGCUCAACCUCGAGACGCCGAUGGAAACCAUCUAACUAGAGUCCGGAAGAGGAGAGUGGAAUUCCUGGUGUAGCGGUGAAAUGCGCAGAUAUCAGGAAGAACACCCGUGGCUAAGGCGGCUCUCUAGUACGGUACUGACGCUGAGACGCGAAAGCGUGGGGAGCGAACAGG